AUCUUUACAGUGGACUUUACUUUCUACCCACUCAGCCAACAAAUUUGUUAAUAGGAUGAAAAUGUAUGACCACAUAUGUUCUUGUAGUACAAGACCACAAACAGCUAUGGUUUAAUUUAUUUCCUAAAGAGAAAGGAAAAAGAAGAAAGAAAACAAGAAAGGCUGUUUGCUGUCUACUGCUGUAAUUUAUUCAUUUGAUUGGUUUUUACCCAGAUUUGUUAAAUGGAAGAGUCCUUUGGGUAAUGGCAUAUUUUCUGAUAUUUAAAAAAUAAAUAAAUUAUAGAUCUGCACAGUGGGGUAUGGAAUUCAGAACAAUUUAGUCUUAGUAUCUGGAUAGAAUAAAAUGCUAAAAGGUCUUAGUUCAGAACUUGCCAAGUUAAUGUCAGAGUUACCUUUACAAGAAUGUUAUCAUCCAACAAAUAUACAAAGUGAAAAUAUGGCUAUUCCUAUGCAUGGUAACCUUAAAGCUUAAGUAAUCAAAUCAAUUAUCAUUAAAACAUCUCAGCAGCUAUCAGAACUGUCUCUGUUUUAUUUUCCUCUUAAUGUUUACACAUGUAAAUAAAAUGCUUCUUUGCCCUUGUUCAAAUUAUUUUGAGUACAAAGAGUGUUCUUUGCAUCAGCAGCUGUAUCUCAUGGGGCCAAUAUUGUAAUUAAUGAGAUUUGAAACACAUAUUCAGAGCCAAAUUUGAGAUCCCAGACACAGAAUUGAAGAUCCAUUGUUUUGUUUGUUUUCAUUUUUAAAAAGGGGAAAGGGAUAGGAGAUUUAAAGCUUCCUAGUGUAAAGAUCACAAUGUAUUUUUUAGAAGUUUUGUCGUUUUUUUUUUUUAACCUCACACAUGAGUCUGAUUAUUUUUGGGUGGCUGGAUUUAUCAGUAAGGGAAUGCUCACCAGCUGAGCCACUAGAAUGGAGUGUUUGCAUUUGAGGUUGAUUUCUUUUUUAACUUUAUUCUUUCAGAUAUAGAACACCAUAAUUACCCAAUCAUUAGAUCUUUUUUCCCCCCAUUUUGUUUGGGCGCCUAUGCACAAUUUUCUUUUUCUGGAACCUGCAUAUUAUUCUUGGAAGUCUUUAUCAUUUUAAAUAAGCACUUCAUUCCACCACUCCACGCAGACUCUAGAUUGACUGUACAUUUGUUUGAUCCUUUUUUUCCCUCUAAAACGUUAAGGUUAAUAAUGUCUACAUUCUUACAGUGCAUGGAACCUCAGAAAAGAUUUUUCUUUGUUAUAUAGAACAUAGAGACUACUUCUUUAUGUUUAAAUGGAAGCUAAUGAAUUUGUUUGCAUCACAUAGAAUACUUAGCGUGCUAACUUAAGAAAAACAUUUGGAGUAGAAAAUUAAACUAUUUAGACAUUUAAGUGAAUAUUCUUGUUUUUAAGUAAUUUUUCCAAAGGACAAAACUGGCCUAUUAUUUAUUUCUUUCAUAAAACUAAUUAGUUUUUGAAAAUAGCAUCUCUUUACUUACAUUCAUAUCACUUUUCGCUUCCAAUCAUUUAACAUAUAUCCAUUCAUUAAUACUCAGUAUACCCCAGUUAAUUAGAUUUUCCUACCCAGCUUUUUAAGCUGGGUAAACUGAGUCCUAGAAAGAUUCAUUAGCAUGAUCUGAUCCAUAAAGAAAAUAGAGCUAGUUCCAGGAUGAGAACUCUGUGUUCCUGGCUGGCAGUCGUGUUCCCAGACCACGAAGCCGCACCUCUUUCUCUCAGAAGUGACUAUUCCACAGAGGAAUGUGAGCAAGCUUUGAGAUGUUUGUCACUCAAACUACUG
ensembl:lncRNA